GUUUAUUUAUUUUUAAUAAAUAUAUUUACAGAUCUGGUUAGUAUCUGGGCUGAAGACGAUUUUUAACUUUUACCGAGAAAAUGAUCUGCAGCAACUACUCUCUAAUCCUUUUCAUGUUCCAUCUACCGUGACUCACUAGACAAAGAUCUGGAUAGUAUCUGGGCAGAAGAAUUUUAUUUAUUUUACCGAGAGAAUGAUCAGCAGUAAACUCCUCCCUAAACCUUCUCAUGUUCCAUCUACCUUGACUCACUAGACAAAGACUGGUGAUGAUGUAAUCGACAAGAUCGAUUUUAUACUGUACCUUCAUUGCAUCUAUGGAAGUAUCCAUGGAAACGCCUAUGGAUUCAAGAUCAAAUUUGACAAUGUAUAUGUUAUAUAUAUAUAAAUAUUUAUAUUUUACUAUAAUACACAUUAUAUGUAAGACCUUUGUAAAACCUAUUGUAUAGCGUACAAUAUAUACAAUAUAUAUAUUGUAUGUUAUAUUUUUUUUUGUGAUCGUUUUUCUUUUGUGGAUAUAUAUAUUAAUCAUCCUUUUGGAUGAAUGAUUGCUGUUGUUUCUUUUAAUUAUAUACCAUAUUAUAAGUUUUAUAUAUUUUUAAGAAAAUAUUAUACAAAAAUAUUUAUACUUAUGGUAAAUAAAUAAUAUAUAUAUA